CCUACGGGUGGCAGCAGUGAGGAAUAUUGGUCAAUGGGCGCGAGCCUGAACCAGCCAAGUAGCGUGAAGGAUGACGGCCCUACGGGUUGUAAACUUCUUUUAUAAAGGAAUAAAGUGAGGCACGUGUGCCUUUUUGUAUGUACCUUAUGAAUAAGGAUCGGCUAACUCCGUGCCAGCAGCCGCGGUAAUACGGAGGAUCCGAGCGUUAUCCGGAUUUAUUGGGUUUAAAGGGAGCGUAGUGGGGUUGUUAAGUCCGUUGUUAAAGUUUGCGGCGCCACCGUCAAAUUGCCAUUGAUACUGGCAGCCUUGAGUACAGUUGAGGUAGGCGGAAUUCGUGGUGUAGCGGUGAAAUGCUUAGAUAUCACGCAGAACUCCGAUUGCGAAGGCAGCUUACUAGACUGCAACUGACAUUGAUGCUCGAAAGUGUGGGUAUCAAACAGGAUUAGAUACCCUUGUAGUC
rnacentral:rRNA from 1 species